rnacentral:tRNA from 1 species
GGGGGUAUAGCUCAGGGUUAGAGCAUCCGACUGCAGACCAAGAGGCCCCCAGUUCGAUUCCAGAUACCCCCU